rnacentral:lncRNA from 1 species
UGUAAUACGAUGCUUUGCAUUUUUUUGUAUAACAAAAAUACUAUCGUAAAAAUAUGACUUACCUCUUCACACAUUUCAAAUUGUUGGUUUCUGAUUACUUUGAAAUACUUGUAUUUUUCCAUUUUCUUUAGAUAUUAAGAACUAGUACCUACAUACAAUAAACACACCUGCACUGUUUAUUGCUCUAAUAUUAAUGCCUACUUGAUUUAUUGCUUUGUUUCAUUUACUAGUUGAUUCAUUGGUUACUCAGUCUUUGAUUCAUUAAAUGAUUAAUUAAUUAUUUGUUUUCAAAAUAUGGCUUUGGUAUCUAUGGAAUGUAUCAGAUAGUCCAGGCCAGUUCCGAUAAUUUUUGAGACCAAUAAAUAGAAACCGGAUGGAACCCAUUGCAAGAGGAAGAAGAUGUAACAAAAAUUGAAGGAAAAAUAAUAUAGGCGACCUGAGGUGUGGAAGAAAAAGGAGCUUUUAAAAAGAAGUUGUAAGCAGCUUAAAUAAAUAUUUAAGAAAUAACAAGAGGCGCACAACAUUUUAACCAAAAAAGAUACGUUUUUUUCUACAAAAAUAUUCCCUGACGAAACAUAGCUCAUAAUUUGGGAAGACGUAAACUAACAAUAAAAAGGAAAGCAAUGUUUUAGACGAAAUAAAAAAUUAAAAGAAACUAGGAUAGAUAAUAGUCAAUUACAAAGCAUAAUUAACAGAUUAAGUGAGGAAAGUGAAUACUUAUUAAUAAUGGGAAUUGAUUGAAGAGAAAUAAUGUUCAGAGCAAUGAAAGAGCUAGAAGUACCAAAUGAGUUGAUAAAAACAAAACUACCCCUUGAAAAAGUUGAAUGUAGAGUACGAAUCCAAGGAACCUGAACCUUUUAAAACAAAUGGGUUGCUCCAGGGAGACCCCUCUCUCCUAUUUCUUUCUUUUUCCCCUUCCUUAUACCCUUUCAGGUGUCGGAUUUGGGUUUAG